rnacentral:rRNA from 1 species
UGGGGAAUAUUGCACAAUGGGCGCAAGCCUGAUGCAGCCAUGCCGCGUGUGUGAAGAAGGCCUUCGGGUUGUAAAGCACUUUCAGCGAGGAGGAAGGUGGUGAGCUUAAUACGCUCAUCAAUUGACGUUACUCGCAGAAGAAGCACCGGCUAACUCCGUGCCAGCAGCCGCGGUAAUACGGAGGGUGCAAGCGUUAAUCGGAAUUACUGGGCGUAAAGCGCACGCAGGCGGUUUGUUAAGUCAGAUGUGAAAUCCCCGGGCUCAACCUGGGAACUGCAUUUGAAACUGGCAAGCUAGAGUCUCGUAGAGGGGGGUAGAAUUCCAGGUGUAGCGGUGAAAUGCGUAGAGAUCUGGAGGAAUACCGGUGGCGAAGGCGGCCCCCCUGGACGAAGACUGACGCUCAGGUGCGAAAAGCGUGGGGAGCAAAACAGGAUUAGAUACCCUGGUAGUCCACGCUGUAAACGAUGUCGAUUUUGGAGGUUGUGCCCUUGAGGCGUGGCUUCCGGAGCUAACGCGUUAAAUCGACCGCCUGGGGAGUACGGCCNCAAGGUUAAAACUCAAAUGAAUUGAC